rnacentral:rRNA from 1 species
UCUACGGGAGGCAGCAGUGGGGAAUUUUGCGCAAUGGGGGUUAGCCCUGACGCAGCAACGCCGCGUGCGGGAUGAAGGCCUUCGGGUUGUAAACCGCUUUCAGCAGGGACGAUCGUGACGGUACCUGCAGAAGAAGCUCCGGCUAACUACGUGCCAGCAGCCGCGGUAAUA